AAUUUUGGACAGUGGGGGAAACCCUCAUCCAGCCAUCCCGCGUGUAUGAUGAAGGCAUUCGGGUUGUAAAGUACUUUUGGCAGAGAAGAAAAGGUACCUCCUAAUACGAGGUACUGCUGACGGUAUCUGCAGAAUAAGAACGGGAUAACUACGUACGAGGAGCCGCGGUAAUACGUAGGGUGCAAGCGUUAAUCGGAAUUCCUGGGCGUAAAGCGUGUGGAGGCGGUUCGGGAAGAAAGAUGUGGAAACCCAGGGCUCAACCUUGGAACUGCAUUUUCAACUGCCGGGCUUGAGUAUGUCAGAGGGUGGUAGAAUUCCACGUGUAGCAGUGAAAUGCGUAGAUAUGUGGAGGAAUACCGAUGGCGAAGGCAGACCCCUGGGAUAAUACUGACGCUCAGACACGAAAGCGUGGGGAGCAAAC
rnacentral:rRNA from 1 species